AAGAACUAAUAAUCUGAACAAUCGAAUGAUAGGGUAACGCCUUGAAAGGUUGUCCAUAAUACUCCGAAUGGCGACAGUACGGUAAAAUACUAAACGUCAUAAG
rfam:Epulopiscium sp. AS2M-Bin001 AS2M_MBin01_129, whole genome shotgun sequence.